AUGCUACGGUUCAGAGGCAGGGACGGCCGCGACACCGACGGGGCACUGGGGGAGCAAGGCCGCGGCCGCGGCGGAGAGGUACCCGCAAGGCGAGGCGAGGUUGCGUGGGGACGACCCGACGGCGAAGAAGUGUGGCCGGCAGUAGAAGACCCAGCGCGACCUGCUUGCUCCGGCAGUGAGGCAGAGGAGACUCAACGGCGGCUCAAUCGUAACGGCGGCGGAGUCACAGGUCGCAAUAUUGAGACCCGGCGGUGGUUUGAAGCAAAGCCAAGCUCGUCGGCGGUUUACUUGCUGCGGGCAACUUGCUCACGGGGCAACGGCGACUCGUAG
rnacentral:rRNA from 1 species